GAUGAACGCUGGCGGCGUGCCUAACACAUGCAAGUCGAGCGGGGUUACGGGGAGUUUUCGGACAAACCGUAACCUAGCGGCGGACGGGUGAGUAACGCGUGGGUAACCUGCCUUUUACUGGGGGAUAACAGCCGGAAACGGCUGCUAAUACCGCAUGAUAUGCCGGGGCCGCAUGGCUCCAGCAGAAAAGAUUUAUCGGUAAGAGAUGGACCCGCGUCCGAUUAGCCAGUUGGUGAGGUAACGGCUCACCAAAGCGACGAUCGGUAGCCGGCCUGAGAGGGCGGACGGCCACAUUGGGACUGAGACACGGCCCAAACUCCUACGGGAGGCAGCAGUGGGGGAUAUUGCACAAUGGGGGAAACCCUGAUGCAGCAACGCCGCGUGAGCGAGGAAGUAUUUCGGUAUGUAAAGCUCUAUCAGCAGGGAAUAGAAAAGAAGGUACCUGACUAAGAAGCCCCGGCUAACUACGUGCCAGCAGCCGCGGUAAUACGUAGGGGGCAAGCGUUAUCCGGAUUUACUGGGUGUAAAGGGAGCGUAGACGGCACUGCAAGUCAGAAGUGAAAGCCCGGGGCUUAACCCCGCGGACUGCUUUUGAAACUGCAGGGCUGGAGUGCGGGAGAGGCAAGUGGAAUUCCUAGUGUAGCGGUGAAAUGCGUAGAUAUUAGGAGGAACACCAGUGGCGAAGGCGGCUUGCUGGACCGUAACUGACGUUGAGGCUCGAAAGCGUGGGGAGCAAACAGGAUUAGAUACCCUGGUAGUCCACGCGGUAAACGAUGAAUACUAGGUGUCGGGGGGCGAAGCCCUUCGGUGCCGCCGCUACGCAGUAAGUAUUCCACCUGGGGAGUACGUUCGCAAGAAUGAAACUCAAAUGAAUUGACGG
rnacentral:rRNA from 1 species